UUAAUUGAAACCAAAAUUAAGAGGUUCUCCACUGUUAAUGGAAAAAAUGGGAUUUUCCCCAAUUAAA
rnacentral:tRNA from 1 species